GACGAACGCUGGCGGUGUGCUUAAUACAUGCAAGUCGAACGAUUCCUUCGGGAAUAGUGGCGGACGGCUGAGUAACACGUAGGUAACGUACCUCUUAUUGGGGGAUAACACCGGGAAACCGGUGCUAAUACCGCAUAAGUCACUGGUUGAAAUACUGGUGAUUAAAGAUUUAUCGAUAAGAGAUCGGCCUGCGUCUGAUUAGCUAGUUGGUAGGGUAAAGGCCUACCAAGGCAAUGAUCAGUAGUUGGUCUGAGAGGAUGACCAGCCAGAGUGGGACUGAGACACGGCCCACACUUCUACGGAAGGCAGCAGUAGGGAAUUUUGCGCAAUGGGCGAAAGCCUGACGCAGCAACACCGCGUGCGGGAUGAAGGCUCUUGGGUCGUAAACCGCUGUCAGCAGGGAAUAAAUUGACUGUACCUGCAGAGGAAGCACCGGCUAACUACGUGCCAGCAGCCGCGGUAAU
rnacentral:rRNA from 1 species